AUUGAACGCUGGCGGCAUGCCUUACACAUGCAAGUCGAACGGCAGCACGGGUGCUUGCACCUGGUGGCGAGUGGCGAACGGGUGAGUAAUACAUCGGAACAUGUCCUGUAGUGGGGGAUAGCCCGGCGAAAGCCGGAUUAAUACCGCAUACGAUCUACGGAUGAAAGCGGGGGACCUUCGGGCCUCGCGCUAUAGGGUUGGCCGAUGGCUGAUUAGCUAGUUGGUGGGGUAAAGGCCUACCAAGGCGACGAUCAGUAGCUGGUCUGAGAGGACGACCAGCCACACUGGGACUGAGACACGGCCCAGACUCCUACGGGAGGCAGCAGUGGGGAAUUUUGGACAAUGGGCGUAAGCCUGAUCCAGCAAUGCCGCGUGUGUGAAGAAGGCCUUCGGGUUGUAAAGCACUUUUGUCCGGAAAGAAAUCCUUGGCCCUAAUACGGUCGGGGGAUGACGGUACCGGAAGAAUAAGCACCGGUUAACUACGUG
rnacentral:rRNA from 1 species